UGCCAGACUCCUACGGGAGGCAGCAGUGGGGAAUAUUGCACAAUGGGGGAAACCCUGAUGCAGCGACGCCGCGUGAGUGAAGAAGUAAUUCGUUACGUAAAGCUCUCUCAGCAGGGAAGAAAUACUGACCUUACGGUCAGCAGACGGUACCUGAUUAAGAAGCCCCGGCUAACUACGUGCCAGCAGCCGCGGUAAUACGUAGGGGGCAAGCGUUAUCCGGAUUUACUGGGUGUAAAGGGAGCGUAGACGGCAGCGCAAGUCUGGAGUGAAAGGCGGGGGCCCAACCCCCGGACUGCUCUGGAAACUGUGUAACUUGAGUGCAGGAGAGGUAAGCGGAAUUCCUAGUGUAGCGGUGAAAUGCGUAGAUAUUAGGAGGAACACCAGUGGCGAAGGCGGCUUACUGGACUGUAACUGACGUUGAGGCUCGAAAGCGUGGGGAGCAAACAGGAUUAGAUACCCUGGUA
rnacentral:rRNA from 1 species